rnacentral:lncRNA from 1 species
CUGUGGACACUCUGAUGUGCCAUCUCAAUUAAUGAGCCUGGAUCUAACGCUCCAUGUUUUUUCAUAUUUUCCAUUUUCUGAUUUUAUUUUCCUUUUAUUAUUUUAAUUCCAUUUCAUUUCAAAAAUUCAUAUCUCUCUCAUUAUUGGUCCAAAAAUUAUGGGACCAAUUUCAUUCUUCUCCUUUUAAUUUCUAUUUUCUAAAAAUGAUUUUUAAUAUUUUUUAUUUUAUCAUUUGAUAUUUUUU